rnacentral:rRNA from 1 species
AUUGAACGCUGGCGGCAGGCCUAACACAUGCAGUCGAACGAGUGGCGGACGGGUGAGUAAUGUCUGGGAAACUGCCCGAUGGAGGGGGAUAACUACUGGAAACGGUAGCUAAUACCGCAUACCAUCGGAUGUGCCCAGAUGGGAUUAGCUCGUUGGUGGGGUAACGGCUGACCUAGGCGACGAUCCCUAGCUGGUCUGAGAGGAUGACCAGCCAGACUGGAACUGAAACACGGUCCAGACUCCGACGGGAGGCCGCAGUAGGGAAUAUUGCGAAAGGGGCGCAGGCCUGAUGAAGCAAUGCCGCGUGUAGUAAGAAGGUCUUCGGAUUGUAAAGCACGUUGAUCGAGGAAGCGGUACGUACAGAGGAAGCACCGGCUAACUACGUGCCAGCAGCCGCGGUAAUAG